rnacentral:rRNA from 1 species
GACGAACGCUGGCGGCGCGCCUAACACAUGCAAGUCGAACGAGCGAGAGAGAGCUUGCUUUCUUGAGCGAGUGGCGAACGGGUGAGUAACGCGUGAGGAGCCUGCCUCAAAGAGGGGGACAACAGUUGGAAACGACUGCUAAUACCGCAUAAGCCCACGACCCGGCAUCGGGUUGAGGGAAAAGGAGCAAUCCGCUUUGAGAUGGCCUCGCGUCCGAUUAGCUAGUUGGUGAGGUAACGGCCCACCAAGGCGACGAUCGGUAGCCGGACUGAGAGGUUGAACGGCCACAUUGGGACUGAGACACGGCCCAGACUCCUACGGGAGGCAGCAGUGGGGAAUAUUGCACAAUGGGGGAAACCCUGAUGCAGCGACGCCGCGUGGAGGAAGAAGGUCUUCGGAUUGUAAACUCCUGUUGUUGAGGAAGAUAAUGACGGUACUCAACAAGGAAGUGACGGCUAACUACGUG